rnacentral:rRNA from 1 species
UACGGAGGAUGCAAGCGUUAUCCGGAAUGAUUGGGCGUAAAGCGUCCGCAGGUGGCGAUGUAAGUCUGCUGUUAAAGAGUGAGGCUUAACCUCAUAAAAGCAGUGGAAACUACAUCGCUAGGGUGCGUUCGGGGCAGAGGGAAUUCCUGGUGUAGCGGUGAAAUGCGUAGAGGUCAGGAAGAACGCCGGUGGCGAAGGCGCUCUGCUAGGCCGCAACUGACACUGAGGGACGAAAGCUAGGGGAGCGAAUGGG